rnacentral:lncRNA from 1 species
GAUUUUGUUAUUUGUUGUGUAUGGAGUCAUUGUACUUAUGCUGGUGCUAAAGUCUCUCAUGGUUAAUUUCAGAAGUGAUCUUUGAAUAAUUUCUGAUCUUGCAGUAAAAUCCUCAGGUGCAGGUGCUGCUCUGGUCACCGAUGUGACUCGUGGGGCUGAGCUCUCUGGUUCAUAUCAACAUUCCUGGUGGCUCAUGGUGGGAUGGAUUGCCUGAUAAGGGAGCAGAUGUUCCUGUGUUGCUUACAAGAAAGAAGAGGAUAAUCCAGUGUCAGCUAAAAAAGGACCCCUGAACAAGUUUAUUUCCAGGAUGGCUGGGUGCUCAGAGACCUGCACUGAGCUGACAGAUCCUGAAGUAUCUCUGGUGGCUGAAUGCCUGCAGGCUCUGGAAGCAAACCCUGGAGUAAGGAAAUUCUUGCUGCAGUCAUCUGCCCAAACUGUGCCAGAAGGAGCCAGUGCUCAAGGACAGCUGCUGGAGUGCAGCUGGCAUCCCAGGAUGGGAGCUCCUGGUGAGGAACAGGAGCAGGUCCGAUACUGGAGAUACAGUGGGCUGUGA